GAUGAACGCUGGCGGCGUGCCUAAUACAUGCAAGUCGAGCGAACAGACGAGGAGCUUGCUCCUUUGACGUUAGCGGCGGACGGGUGAGUAACACGUAGGUAACCUACCUAUAAGACUGGGAUAACUUCGGGAAACCGGAGCUAAUACCGGAUAAUAUUUCGAACCGCAUGGUUCGAUAGUGAAAGAUGGCUUUGCUAUCACUUAUAGAUGGACCUGCGCCGUAUUAGCUAGUUGGUAAGGUAACGGCUUACCAAGGCAACGAUACGUAGCCGACCUGAGAGGGUGAUCGGCCACACUGGAACUGAGACACGGUCCAGACUCCUACGGGAGGCAGCAGUAGGGAAUCUUCCGCAAAGGGCGAAAGCCUGACGGAGCAACGCCGCGUGAGUGAUGAAGGUCUUCGGAUCGUAAAACUCUGUUAUUAGGGAAGAACAAAAGUGUAAGUAACUGUGCACGUCUUGACGGUACCUAAUCAGAAAGCCACGGCUAACUACGUG
rnacentral:rRNA from 1 species